rnacentral:rRNA from 1 species
AUUGAACGCUGGCGGCAGGCCUAACACAUGCAAGUCGAGCGAGCGGCGGACGGGUGAGUAAUGUAUGGGGAUCUGCCCGAUAGAGGGGGAUAACUACUGGAAACGGUGGCUAAUACCGCAUAAUAUCGGAUGAACACAUAUGGGAUUAGCUAGUCGGUGGGGUCAAGGCUAACCGAGGCGCCGAUCUCUAGAUGGUCUGAGAGGAUGAUCAGCCACACUGGGACUGAGACACGGCCCAGACUCCUACGGGAGGCAGCAGUGGGGAAUAUUGCACAAUGGGCGCAAGCCUGAUGCAGCCAUGCCGCGUGUAUGAAGAAGGCCUUCGGGUUGUAAAGUACUUUCAGUCGGGAGGCGUUACCGACAGAAGAAGCACCGGCUAACUCCGUGCCAGCAGCCGCGGUAAUAC